UAAAACUGUUUAUUUCUAUAAUUCUCUAUUUAGUAACAUAAUACCAGGCAAGGCCCCUUUCCCACUAUGUCGUAACGACAGAGUCGUGCGUCAUGCCCUGUACAUUUUAAAUGGAGUUGUUCACAUAUAGAGCGAUAAUUUACUACAGGCUUAUAUAUUUACUGACGACUAUAAAUGUCGUUGUGAUAUAGUGGGAACGUGGCCUUUUAUACUACAUAUAUAAGAACAAAAAAAAAAAACAAAAUAUAAAACAAGUUUUUCCUGAAAAAUAGUGUCGUAGAUCAGCGGUCGGCAACCUGCGGCCCGAGUGCCGCCUUGGCUAUUUUGUAUGUAAUAGUGACAAACGAUAAUGUCUCAUAAACUCAUAAAUAUUAACAAAGUACGGCCCGCGUCACCUCCGUUAACUACUAUGUGGCCCUUGGCUGCUAAAAGGUUGCCGACCGCUGGACGAAGUGGCAAUUUGUAUGGUUACCAUUUUAUACAGUGUGUUUUCUGUAACAGGAGCAAUAAAUUAAACUGUAGGCUGUACUCCUCAAACUGACCAACUUUUGUUCAGCAACUUUUGAAAAUAACUCAUGUUUUGAUUUUUAUUACACUUUAAAGUUUAUUCUAAGACGCAAUGUAUUGCAAAUUUUGUUAUGUUAAAAGCGUGACAAGUAACGUCAAACACACUUAUGUCAGCGUACAUUGAAGGCAAUAUUUAUUUUGUAUGAAAAAGAGGAAGCCUAAGGGAUUCAUAAUUUUUAAAAGUUGCUGAACAAAUGUUGGUCAGUUUGAGGAGUACAGCCUUUAGUUUAAUCUAUUGCUCCUGUUACAGGAAGCACCCUGUAUAUUUUUAUCUUAACACAUUCACUGUCAACGCGAGCUACGUGCUAGCAACCCAACUGAUAAAACGUGUAAAAUCGUAUGUAGCGAAAAGCGCGUACGAACAGAGAACUCGCCUAGCGGGUCGCUGGCAGUGAUUGAGUUAAAAUAAGUAGUUUUACUACUUAUUAGGCUUCAUCAAAAAGUAACUUGCAAUUUUGGGUUAGAUAUAAAUAAUGGAACAGAGAUAAAAUGUUGAUUGUCGAUUUUGCCAUAUAAGAAUUAAUUAGGCACACAAAUUCCAUGAAGAAUAGAUACAGUCGAGUUCACAGACAUCUUUACAAGCCAACGUUCCAAAAAUAUGCUAACACGCCUCUAAGACACAGACAAUAAGGUCGUUUAAUAGUAUUUUAUACAAUCGUGAUAUAAUAGAGAGCUUUUCAGUCGAGUACCGUGUUUAGGCAACGAAGCUUGCUGAGUUGCCUAAGUCAGGUACGAGAUUGAAAAGCCUGAUUAUAUCACUAUUGUAUACAAUACUUUUUCUACGAGCCAACAUAAAUAAUAGUUUAAACUAGUAGAAUCAUACAAACAAACCAAACCAAAAGUAUAUUACACAGCUAAGAUACGCAAGCCCCCGCGAUACCUUCAUACUGGUACGCGCCCCCGCCGCCGCGCCCGGCGCGUUGGUCAACGACAUCUUCUCGUAACUCAUGAGGCCCUGGUACUUGCUCCGCGCUAAAUUAAAUUUUUAGACAGUUGUUUUCUCGAUUAUGGAGACUAACAAGGAACACUAAGUGGUUUUUGUAGUCUAUGGAUGUUGCUAUUUUAAGGGUGUCACAUUUCUGAUUUAUGAACCAAUUGCUUCUACUAUACAACCUAAAAUAAAUAAUUAAUUUGAGCUUUGGUUUGGUUUCGUCCUGUUGAUCGCGGAGAGUUGUGAUUGGUCAAUUUCAUUAUAGUUGACUAAACUGUAUCGUAAUCAAUCAAUCAAUCAAAUUUUAUUUCAGGCAAAAAAUAUACCCAUACAAAAAUAUUAAAAUAAAAAUAAUUACAAUUAAAAAUAUUAUCAUAUUAAAAUUAAAAUUAAAAUUAAAAUCAAAAUUAAAAUCAAAAUUAAAUGAUGAAUAUUAUAGUUGAGUUGGGAGCCCAUACAUUAAAAAUACCCAAUUGAAGUUUGGAAUAAGAAAUCUUAAUUCAAGAAUUAUAGUCGACGAGUAGGAAAAUAUAUUUUUAGUUAUACGUGAGAGAUGGAGAUGUUUGUGAACUCGACCUAUUGCAUACUAUUUUGAUGUGUAGACAAUCUUACAUUAACUCUUAAUUUCUAGCUUGAUCAAAUAAAACUAAUACAGCAUUUUAAAUUUGUAUUUACUUAACCACGCCUUAAGGGGCCCACUGAUUGCCAGUCCACCGGACGAUAUCGGCCUGUUGACUACUCCGAACAACUGACAGACUCAUAUCGUCCGGCGAACUGGUAAUCUGUGGGCCCCUUGAUGAUAAAUUUAAAUUUCGAAUAGGCUCUAAAGUAUAGGCUCAACCUAUUAUAAAUUUAACAUCGCCAAAUUAAUUAUAAUACUUACAUCUAUUUAAUCACAACAUAAAACAUUGGCUUUAGGAUAAAACUUAAGUCCUUGUAAU